rnacentral:rRNA from 1 species
AUUGAACGCUGGCGGCAGGCCUAACACAUGCAAGUCGAGCGGAUGAGUGGAGCUUGCUCCAUGAUUCAGCGGCGGACGGGUGAGUAAUGCCUAGGAAUCUGCCUGGUAGUGGGGGACAACGUUUCGAAAGGAACGCUAAUACCGCAUACGUCCUACGGGAGAAAGCAGGGGACCUUCGGGCCUUGCGCUAUCAGAUGAGCCUAGGUCGGAUUAGCUAGUAGGUGAGGUAAAGGCUCACCUAGGCGACGAUCCGUAACUGGUCUGAGAGGAUGAUCAGGCACACUGGAACUGAAACACGGUCCAGACUCCUACGGGAGGAAGCAGUGGGGAAUAUUGGACAAUGGGCGAAAGCCUGAUCCAGCCAUGCCGCGUGUGUGAAGAAGGUCUUCGGAUUGUAAAGCACUUUAAGUUGGGAGGAAGGGCAGUAAGUUAAUACCUUGCUGUUUUGACGUUACCAACAGAAUAAGCACCGGCUAACUUCGUGCCAGCAGCCGCCGUAA